rnacentral:rRNA from 1 species
AGGAAAGCAGGGGAUCGCAAGACCUUGCCGCUCUUGGAGCGGCCGAUGUCUGAUUAGCUAGUUGGUGAGGUAAAGGCUUACCAAGGCGACGAUCAGUAGCUGGUCUGAGAGGACGACCAGCCACACUGGGACUGAGACACGGCCCAGACUCCUACGGGAGGCAGCAGUGGGGAAUUUUGGACAAUGGGGGAAACCCUGAUCCAGCCAUGCCGCGUGAGUGAAGAAGGCCUUCGGGUUGUAAAGCUCUUUCAGCCGGAACGAAACGGUCACGGCUAAUACCUGUGAUCACUGACGGUACCGGAAGAANAANCACCGGCUAACUACGUGCCAGCAGCCGCGGUAAUACGUAGGGUGCAANCGUNAAUCGGAAUNACUGGGCGUAAAGCGUGCGCAGGCGGCCNGUANGUCACAUGUGAAAUCCCCGGGCUUCACCUGNGAACUGCGUNCGAAACUACNCCGC